CAGCAGUGGGGAAAUUGGACAAUGGGGGCAACCCUGAUCCAGCAAUGCCGCGUGCGUGAUGAAGGCCUUAGGGUUGUAAAGCGCUUUCUUGGCGGGGAAGAUGAUGACGGUACCCGCAGAAGAAGCCCCGGCUAAUCCGUGCCAGCAGCCGCGGUAAUACGGAGGGGGCUAGCGUUGUUCGGAAUUACUGGGCGUAAAGGGCGCGUAGGCGGCGAUUUAAGUUAGGCGGAAAGCCCCGGGCUCAACCUGGGAAUGCGCUUGAUACUGGAUUGCUUGAGGACGGGAGAGGGUAGUGGAAUUCCCAGUGUAGAGGUGAAAUUCGUAGAUAUUGGGAAGAACACCAGUGGCGAAGGCGACUGCCUGGCCGUUACUGACGCUGAGGCGCGAAAGCGUGGGGAGCAAACAGGUUAGAUACCCUGGUAGUCCACGCCGUAAACGAUGAGUGCUAGACGUUGGGGAACUUAGUUCUUCGGUGUCGCAGCUAACGCAUUAAGCACUCCGCCUGG
rnacentral:rRNA from 1 species